GUACGAGCAGACCAAGGGGUUGAGAAUGUAGACAUUGCUCGGUGCAUGUUUACUGUGCGAGGAACUGGCCGUGGCAGCUUUAUUGCUGGCAAAAGCGUGCAUAACCAGAGAGUGGAACGGCUAUGGAGAGAUGUUUGGACUGCUGUAACAUCAAGUUACUACAAUGUUCUCCACAGCUUGGAAGAUGAGGGAUUAAUUGACCUGUCUAAUGCUGUUCACCUAUUCUGUGUGAGCUAUGUUUUCAUCCCCAGAAUACACACAGAUUUGCAGCAUUUCAUAGAGAUGUGGAACUGUCAUCCCUUGCGAACGGAGGGAAAUUUGUCACCGAAUCAGCUUUGGAAUAUUGGGAUGUUGCAAGCACCUGUGUCAGAGCCUGAUUUUGCAGAGAUUUUGCAAGCAGAGGAAUUAUUCUUCCAGAAUCCACAGAGUGUUGACUCUGAACAUGGAGUCAUUGUCCCAGAGAUACCUUGCCCCUUGUCACCUGAAGAUUUUGCUACUUUACAGAACCAAGUGAACCCACUCGUUGAGUCCACUUGUUUUGGCUAUGACGUCUACGUACAAGCAUGUCAAUUAACUUUAAAUUUAAUGUUAUAAAUAUAUAAAGUCUAGGCAUGUUCGUUCAUGCUUUCUCGCGAUUUGAACUCUAUAGUGGA